AUGGAAAAUUUUGCACGGGCUCUCAGGUUGAGAUGGAUUUGGAUCAGAUGGACCACAUCAAAAAUUCCAAUCAUUGGCGCAUAUGGCCCUUGCGAUGAUGAGGACUUCGCGGUCUUUGCAAGCGCCACGCGAGUGACCAUCGGUGAUGGCAAGACCGCGCUGUUUUGGAAAGACGCGUGGCUGGACGGCAUGCCACGGGAUGUUGCGCCAGCGUUGUUUGCUGCCUCUUCACGGAAAGGAAGAACUGUUUGCGAUGCUCUUUUACGGGGUAAUUGGCUGCAUGAUCUCGAGCGACAAUGGCAAGAUGAUAUGACUGAAGAAUUCAUUCAGCUAUCUGCAUUAUUGGAGCAAAGCGUGCUAAACCCCUCUGUUAGUGACUCCAUCACUUGGAAGCUGACCAACGAUGGCUUAUACACAUCCAGCUCAGCCUACCACUUCCAGUUCGAGGGGAUGGUCAAAUCCGAUAUUUACAGCACAGUAUGGCGAAGUUGGGCUCCUGCCAAAUGCAAGCUUUUCCUUUGGAUGGCCAUGCAACACAAAAUCCUCACUGCGGAUGUGCUUCUAAGGAGAGGAUGGGAGAAUAAUUAUUUAUGUCCAUUAUGCAUGCGUUGUCUAGAAACAGCCGUGCACCUUCUUUCUGAAUGUUCUUGGUCUCGAAAGGUGUGGGAAGCCAUUGCCACGAUGGCAGGACAGCGAUCAUUGCUGCCCUCGACAUGGAACAUGGAGACUACUUUCGUCGAAUGGCUACAGGGACUUAAUAACCAAUGCACUGAUGCAACUCAAGCAAAAGGUGUGCAGGCGCUAGCAACAAUAAUCUGUUGGGAAAUUUGGCUAGAACGCAACAGAAGAAUCUUCAACAACAAAAAACUACCGGUGCCGAGGAUCAUAAACUGAAUCCGAGAUGAAGCUGCAAUAUCGAAACUAGCAAGUUGCCCAAUCCCGUUUGACCCAGGCUGA
rnacentral:rRNA from 1 species